rnacentral:rRNA from 1 species
UACGGGGGGGGCAAGCGUUGUUCGGAAUUACUGGGCGUAAAGGGCUCGUAGGCGGCCGACUAAGUCAUACGUGAAAUCCCUCGGCUUAACCGGGGAACUGCGUCUGAUACUGGAUGGCUUGAGGUUGGGAGAGGGAUGCGGAAUUCCAGGUGUAGCGGUGAAAUGCGUAGAUAUCUGGAGGAACACCGGUGGCGAAGGCGGCAUCCUGGACCAAUUCUGACACUGAGGAGCGAAAGCCAGGGGAGCAAACGGG